UUAUACCGUGAAACUGCGAAUGGCUCAUUAAAUCAGUUAUCGUUUAUUUGAUAGUACCUUACUACUUGGAUAACCGUGGUAAUUCUAGAGCUAAUACAUGCUGAAAACCCCGACUUCGGAAGGGGUGUAUUUAUUAGAUAAAAAACCAAUGCCUUCGGGCUCUUUGGUGAUUCAUAAUAACUUCUCAGAUCGCAUGGCCUUGCGCCGGCGACGGUUCAUUCAAAUUUCUGCCCUAUCAACUUUCGAUGGUAAGGUAUUGGCUUACCAUGGUUUCAACGGGUAACGGGGAAUUAGGGUUCGAUUCCGGAGAGCGAGCCUGAGAGACGGCUAGCACAUCCAAGGAAGGCAGCAGGCGCGCAAAUUACACAAUGGCAACACGCCGAUGUAGUGACAAUAAAUACUGAUACAGGGCUCUUUUGGGUCUUGUAAUUGGAAUGAGUACAAUUUAAACCUCUUAACGAGGAACAAUUGGAGGGCAAGUCUGGUGCCAGCAGCCGCGGUAAUUCCAGCUCCAAUAGCGUAUAUUAAAGUUGUUGCAGUUAAAAAGCUCGUAGUUGAACCUUUGGCCUGGCUGGCGGGUCUGCCUCACCGCAUGCACUCGUCCGGCCGGGCCUUCUCUUCUGGAGAAUCGCAUGCCCUUCACUGGGUGUGUUGAGGACCAGGACUUUUACUUUGAAAAAAUUAGAGUGUUCAAAGCAGGCCUUUGCUCGAAUACGUUAGCAUGGAAUAAUAGAAUAGGACGUGCGGUCCUAUUUUGUUGGUUUCUAGGACCGCCGUAAUGAUUAAUAGGGACAGUCGGGGGCAUCAGUAUUCAAUUGUCAGAGGUGAAAUUCUUGGAUUUAUUGAAGACUAACUACUGCGAAAGCAUUUGCCAAGGAUGUUUUCAUUAAUCAGUGAACGAAAGUUAGGGGGAUCGAAGACGAUCAGAAUAACCGGUCGUAGUCUUAACCAUAAACUAUGCCGACUAGGGAUCGGGCGGUGUUUCUAUUAUGACCCGUUCGGCACCUUGCGAGAAAUCAAAGUGUU
rnacentral:rRNA from 1 species